rnacentral:rRNA from 1 species
GAUGAACGCUAGCGGCAGGCUUAAUACAUGCAAGUCGAGGGGCAGCAGGGGUAGCAAUACUCGCUGGCGACCGGCAAACGGGUGCGGAACACGUACAGAACCUUCCUUUAAGUGGGGCAUAGCCCAGAGAAAUUUGGAUUAAUACCCCAUAAAAUAUUUGAUAAGGCAUCUUAUUAAUAUUAAAGCUUCGGCACUUGAUGAUGGGUGUGCGGCUGAUUAGAUAGNGGCGGGGUAACGGCCCACCAAGUCUACGAUCAGUAGCUGAUGUGAGAGCAUGAUCAGCCACACGGGCACUGAGACACGGGCCCGACUCCUACGGGAGGCAGCAGUAAGGAAUAUUGGACAAUGGGCGAAAGCCUGAUCCAGCCAUGCCG